rnacentral:tRNA from 1 species
CGGAAGUUAGCUCAUUUGGUUAGAGCAAUCGGUGUAUCGCCGAUUGGUAGUAGGUUCGAUUCCUAUACUUUCAACCA